CCUUACGAGUGGAAUCCGGGACAUGCCACCCAUCGAACUGCAACAACUCCGAGAACUUAUAACAACUAGCUCAGUUACCUACAAAGGACCAACGAGAAUACCACUCCUAGUCCAUGAAGAGAAGCUGCUACUACAGCGGUUGUGUCGUCUACAUCGAACGCCUAGGGUGCCGUACUGAGUCUACGACUGCUACUUGGCCUGAUGGGCAACAUUAGACUUGUGGAUUUCUUCCUACUACAAGUGCAGUCCCGUCCUGAACUCCCUCCCGCACCAACAACCUCCUGCGGCGGCGGCGGUAGCGCCUUGAGAUCCCAGUCCCCCACCAGACGCCAGUCGUUCCUGGCCGUUCCGGUACAGUUAGCAAGGGAUGUAGUGCCUAGUAGUGUCUAUAAAUGUAAGACAAGCAAAAGACUUAAAAAGACAAGUAAAGACAUAAAGGACUAGCAAACAUACGAAGUGGACAAUACUUGUAGCAAAGAACGUCGCUCCUCGCCGCGUUCCGGCACGGGAUAUAGUGGCUCGUAGUGUCCGUAAAUGCAAGACAAGUAAAAAGAUAUAAAAAGACUAACAAACAUACGAAGUGGACAGGACUUGUAGCAAAGAACGUCGCUCCUCGCCGCGUUCCGGCACGGGAUGUAGUGGCUUGUAGUGUCCAUGUAUCCAUAUGUCUAUGUUACACUCCCGCGACCUGCGUGUGAGUAACUCUCCCUGGAGACGGUCCAUACGUUACAACACAUUACUUUCUGGCAGAACGAGCUAACUAGGUAACUCAAGCAUACAAAUAAUUUUUUUAACAUGUAACGCGCACUAGCCCACAAUUAAAAUAGAUGUGGACAUUUUACACACAACAUAAUGAGCAGUAAUGGUAAUAAAUACUUGAGAGAUAAACUUGAUAGUCCUUAGUAACUUGAUAAACCAUACCUAAUUCUUAAAUUCUACUAACACAAGCAAAACUACAAAGACACGAUUUCACGGACGUCCGUUAUCCUUUACAAGACAAAAGAGCUAAGAAUGGUACCAAUUUGAGCGCCACAUAAAAAUCUAUAACAAUACAUCAGACGAAACGUGACGUAAAUACCUCGGCCU
rnacentral:rRNA from 1 species